rnacentral:lncRNA from 1 species
UUGGAUUGCUCCCUUUGGGGAAAGCCGCGGUCAUGUCCUGCAGACACUCAAACAAGCCUGCAGAGAGGCCCACGUGAAGAGGAACCAACUUUCCAACCAGGAGUGAGCCACCUAUGAACUCCUGGGUAAAUACCUAGCAUUUCCCCUAUUCAGAGAGACAAAGGCCAGGCUUGAAGGACCUGAAUAUGACCCAGCAUGAACAACACAUUCUCGGACAGAAGAGGAGACUGACCAUCAAACAGGUCACAACUCCCCGUCCAGGAGCGUUGCGGAGAAUGCCCCGUGUGAAUCUGCAGACUUGGCCUUAAAGGGAAGCAGUUUCCUUCAAGAACAAAUCGUCUGUGUCUCUCCUGUUUCUUUUCCAUCUCAUGUAAGGAAGUCAAGUAGAGAUUGGUGAAUGGGCAAUAUGUUUGUUUCAUUCAACAAACAUAAAUCCCUGGGAAAGACUAGAGAAGGUAUUCAUAAUGCCAGAACUUGAAGCUGUGUUGACUUUCUGGGGAAAAGUAUCCUUUGUUCUCUCAACAAGCCUGCAGUUUUAGCACCCUCUUAUGCUCUCAGGAGUCACAAAAACAGACGGGAAUGGAAUAGCAGCCUGGUGCUCCUCUUCUAUCACAGGGCUUGCUCAGCUCCGGGGAGAAUCUGCAUCUAUAAUGUCUGAUCUACAUGGUCUCCUCGGUGGCCAGAAGUUGGGAAGACCUGGUUAUACCCUGAGACUCUUCACCGCUCCCAAGGGGAUGCUGUACAUUGCAAGAUGCCAAGAGCCUGUAAGAAGAAGCUGAGAUCACAGAUAAGAC